GAUGAACGCUGGCGGCGUGCCUAAUACAUGCAAGUCGAGCGAACGGACGAGAAGCUUGCUUCUCUGAUGUUAGCGGCGGACGGGUGAGUAACACGUGGAUAACCUACCUAUAAGACUGGGAUAACUUCGGGAAACCGUAGCUAAUACCGGAUAAUAUUUUGAACCGCAUGGUUCAAAAGUAAAAGACGGUCUUGCUGUCACUUAUAGAUGGAUCCGCGCUGCAUUAGCUAGUUGGUAAGGUAACGGCUUACCAAGGCAACGAUGCAUAGCCGACCUGAGAGGGUGAUCGGCCACACGGGAACUGAGACACGGUCCAGACUCCUACGGGGGGCAGCGGUAGGGAAUCUUCCGCAAUGGGCGAAAGCCUGACGGAGCAACGCCGCGUGAGUGAUGAAGGUCUUCGGAUCGUAAAACUCUGUGAUUAGGGAAGAACAGAUGUGUAAGUAACUGUGCACAUCUUGACGGUACCUAAUCAGAAAGCCACGGCUAACUACGUG
rnacentral:rRNA from 1 species